rnacentral:snRNA from 1 species
UGCUGCGGUGCCUCCUCAUUUGUGGAUAAAUCUUUCGCCUUUUACUAAAGAUUUCCUCGAGAAGGCAUAAUACGAUGAAUCUUAUCUCAUUUUUUCCAGCUCUGCCUUCGGACAGAGU